CUCCAAGUGACAGGUACUUUUGGAGAAGUCAGAGCUCAGUUUGUAGCAGGGGGGAGGCGGGGGGAGGUAUAAGGCACCCGUGCUGAAUUAGUCACCGAGUUGUGACUGCGCUGCUCAUUUGGCGGUUCCAGCAAGGCACAAGGAAAUUGUUGAUUGCUGGAGGCCAGUGCCCGGGGAAGAAGGGCUUUUGUUCUGUUUCUGAGACUGGAACUGGUUAAUUUUGACUUGGCUUUCGGAAUGCCUUAGCGAGGGAGAAACCGGAACCUCAACCUCACCUUAGCGCUGGGGCUGGACUAUACCAACUGAAAUUCACCCUGGAGAGACCACACCCAAGCACCUACUCUGUCUUGGCAGGACAGGGCAGGGCGUCGUCCUCCUGUUACCCAGCCGAGCACCGAGCACCGGAAGGGACAAAGUGGGAAGCCGGCAUCCCCAUAUAGUAAACCCUGCCACUUCGGAGCUCAUGUGCUUUGGAAGGGUCCCCCAGGCAGGUGCCCACCGCGCAAUCAUUACUCUUAUAAUGACCCGAAGGAGAGAGACAAAGCGAGGCACGGGUGGAGGCUGCAGUGGGUGGAACUCUCACACAAUUCCUCCCGCGAUGUGUUCAUGCGAAGAAAUAGCCUGAAAGACUGAAUGGGUGGCUAAAUGCUUGGCCAUGCUGAUGCAUACGUAAACAAUGCAUGUAAAGGUGCUGGCGAAGAGCAGCUGGACUCUGCUGAGAUCCUGGAGAGGCUGGAGGCUCCGGCUAAAGAAGCUGCUGGGGACCACGUGGGCCGCCUGUGACAGAUAACUCCAGCUCGCUGUACUCCGCUGUACUCCGUGUGAGCCUCGAUUCAAGAUGAGAUCAAGAGAGGAAAAUGGAGCCAGCCCUCAGCCUCUGGCUACCCCUCCUUGCUGCUCUUGCAUUCGGAGCCUCAGGAUUCUCAGGCCCUACACUUCCUGGACGUCUUUGAAAAACCCAUCUGGCUAGUGUGUUUUGGUUAAAUGCUUUGCUGUUUGCACCACUAACUGCGGUGCUGUGACAUGAUUGGAUGGCAUUAAAAAAAGCCCAUUCACUUAGACAUCCUUCCCGUGCAUUCUCACUUAAUAAAUUAAACAACUAUUUGGGGUAAAA